GGCACUUUGGCGGAGUGGUUAACGCGAUGCCCUGCUAUUAGUUUACUUGAUAGUCUAGGCAUUCCCUUCGGGGGCGUGUGUUCGAAUCACACAGGUGUCG
rnacentral:tRNA from 1 species